AUAUAUAAAUAAAAUUAUAUUCUCGUCACUAAUUUAGAGAUAAUAAAAAAUAUUGGAUACAUCACCUUACGGUCUGACUAGAUCUGACCCAUAAAGGUGCAGCGUAUUCGCUUAUCCAGAUCUCUCGUAAGAGCUCUGGUAAGGUGUUGAUGAGGUUCAGAAGUUGAAUUCAGUGCGGGUCCAGCUGGAUAGGGUCUUGACGGUGUAAAUGUUGCGGGGUCCUAGGAGCUAUAAAGUUUGGUCUACGUUUACAGGGUCUAGCAAAUGGAGAGUAUGUUCGAAAGUUGUUGACAGUUUUUACAUUUGGUGCAUUGUAUGCAAGUGGCAUUAUUCCCAUCAAAACCUGUCUGCAAGUGCAUAUAAAGAGGACUUAAUGUUAAUCCGGCUACAUCCUCUUGUCUUCCAUAAAUAUUUUCCUAAAGUGCAAACUUUAUAAACAUAACUAAAAAAAUUUGGAGUUUAUUUAAAAAAGUAUAGUCAUUAUUGAAUUAUUUCCCUUAAAUUUCAAAUUUUAUUAUUCACUUAUCAAAUUUAGUUUUCUAUUCUUCGCAUACACUUUUUCAACUCGUCACUCAUCAUGACUCUGGUAAUAACUGUUGAUAUUUAAGUGGUUUAUAUUAUUUUAAAGAAUUUCCAGUCUUUCGUUAAUGUUAUACAAAUAAC